UCCAGACUCCUACGGGAGGCAGCAGUGGGGGAUAUUGCACAAUGGGGGAAACCCUGAUGCAGCGACGCCGCGUGGGUGAAGAAGCGCCUCGGCGCGUAAAGCCCUGUCAGCAGGGAAGAAAAUGACGGUACCUGAAGAAGAAGCCCCGGCUAACUCCGUGCCAGCAGCCGCGGUAAUACGGAGGAUGCGAGCGUUAUCCGGAUUUAUUGGGUUUAAAGGGUGCGCAGGCGGCACGGCAAGCCGGCGGUCAAAUCGCGGGGCUCACCCCCGCCCAGCCGUCGGAACUGCCGGGCUAGAGUGGGCGAGAAGUGCGCGGAAUGCGUGGUGUAGCGGUGAAAUGCAUAGAUAUCGGGAGGAACACCAGUGGCGAAGGCGGUUUACUGGACCACAACUGACGCUGAGACACGAAAGCGUGGGGAGCAAACAGGAUUAGAUACCCUCGUA
rnacentral:rRNA from 1 species